CCUACGGGCGGCAGCAGUGGGGGAUAUUGCACAAUGGGGGGAACCCUGAUGCAGCGACGCCGCGUGGGUGAAGGAGUAUUUCGGUAUGUAAAGCCCUAUCGGCAGGGAAGAAGCAAGACGGUACCUGACUAAGAAGCCCCGGCUAACUACGUGCCAGCAGCCGCGGUAAUACGUAGGGGGCGAGCGUUAUCCGGAUCCACUGGGUGUAAAGGGAGCGCAGACGGCCAUGCAAGCCAGGGGUGAAAGCCCGGGGCCCAACCCCGGGACUGCCCUUGGAACUGCAUGGCUGGAGUGCGGGAGGGGCAGGCGGAAUUCCUGGUGUAGCGGUGAAAUGCGUAGAUAUCAGGAGGAACACCGGUGGCGAAGGCGGCCUGCUGGACUGUGACUGACGUUGAGGCCCGAAGGCGUGGGGAGCAAACAGGAUUAGAUACCCCAGUAGUC
rnacentral:rRNA from 1 species